UGUGCAUGUGAUGAUGAUGAUGAUGAUGAUGAUGAGCAAUAAUCAUGAUUUAUCUUCCCGGGGGCUUUCUGGCAAUCACCAGAUCAAUUCAUCUAUGAAAGAGUAUCAUUUAUGAUUCCUUUUGCCUGUUGCUGUCAGCCGCUGACCGGUCUCUGCUGACAUUGGCCUCUUGGAGGAUUACUCAAUCAAGUACGACUCUACUCAGAGGCCAGUGCUAACUAACUAUAAAUAAUAAUAAUAAAUAAAAGCUCAGCCUGAAAUAUCCAUGUUGACGCCAGUCGUGGUAGGUUAGAUAAGCACGAAUUCAGCUAUAUAUCUAUAUCUAUAUCUAUAUAUAAAACAUAUAUACCUUGUCUUUUCCUCUUUUGUUACUAUAUCCGCCGGUAGCGAGGAGCUUGACUUUCUCUUUUUGGUAAAGGACAGGCUGGACACCGGGAAUGGAAAUGUGUACAUGUGGCCAAGCACUCUCCAGUUCAGGUAGAUAGAUAUGUUUUCCUACUGCACGAAAAUGGAAAAAAGGCGAAUGCGACUGAAUGGUCUGAAAGGGGCCCAUAUGACCGAAGGAUGCUUCGUUUGUGGGUGAGUGGCCCUAGCCACUAACUCUAUAUAUCAGGUUGCAUAAUGAGGAGAAUCUUAUGAUAGUGCGUGAGAAGCAGUUCUUGUCCGUGGUCUUGGAUCGAGGGGAAACCCGCUACUAGAAAUUUCCGGUGGGCAAGAUGCGACGAUUAAAAAAUCCGCCCAUUGAUCUUCAGAAAUAUCUCGAGCUCUCUCUGGAAAAUUCUUGAUUGAUGCUGAAGGAUCUUAUUAUUGGCAAAUCAUAUUGGAUAUAUCAAGCUGGUGGGGAGGAUGACCAUGGGACCUUUUCAUGUUGGGGUGAGGAGAAGUGGGGUUGGAGCAUCAAUGGAUCUAUGUAAGUUGUACCAGGGAAGGGAGUGUUGAGGCAGGGACUUGCCCAUGAGCAACGUUUUAUCUAGGCCCAGUAUGGAGUGUCACAUAACUAUGAUAUUACUUCAUCCCCAAAGGCCAUACCAACCAACUCGUAAUCCCCCAAAGACUCCUUUUUGAUACAAGCUUUUUGGCCAGUCCAAAGAGGAAAGUUUCAUCACCUUCUUUGAAUGAGCGGCUCCAACACCCUAGUUUCUUUUUAAGCCACAAUAAAGGCUCCUCCCGGAGCCAAGUCUAAUUCCUUUGGCCCCAAUCCACAUUUCAUCAGUGCGUGUGAUAUCGUUUGAUCUUUGUUGAGUUUCUGAUCUCAGAAUUGUUUUCCUUCUCAUCGCCAUCGACAAGCCGGUCGCUAGGAAGCAUGACGGCGCGAUCGAGUUGGGAUGGUAAACCGCGAUGACGGCCGCGUAACAUCAUGGCGCACAUGAUCAAUUUGCCAAAGGCGCUGAAUUUUCCGGAUAGGGAGGUGUUGAUGCCGGGAUAACCUAGACUGAGGCCGACGUUUCCGCUUGGGUAAUUUUAGUAAGGAAAUGAGAAAUGUCUUUAUGAGAAGGAACAAUGAAGGGAAGAAGAACCCGCUGUACUUACUAGCCAGAUGUUACUUCGAACAACAUCGCGAAAACAGAAAAUGCCUGUUAUCGAUUAGCCCGGAGAACUCUCAAUUGAAAGCGAAAUUGAAGGAAGGUUAAGGAGAAUUUUGCAAGCCAGAAAGAGGCAGAAAAGGGGAAAAAAUUAUACAACUCUCACCGGUUCAUUAGGAUCCAUGAUCUUUUUCGACUCGGAAGCGCAGAUGCAAAAGAAACCAAGGAAAAUAUACCAUAAAUCGAACGUCAGUUGGUUCUUGAUAUGGGCCAAGAUCGGGGUUUACAUUUGCCAGGUUGAAUGACGCGGUUCCUGUGUGUCGUGUGGACGCUGCUUGGAAUAACGAAGCCAGAAUUCGUUUUCCCCAGGGUAAAUCGUUAACAGCUGGAUUGUGGAGGUCCAAAGUUAUCAUCAGAAUUAUGUCCACGAAGUUCAGGAGAAAAAGGACCGCAAAGAGAGCCCAAGUUGUUCCACUUGGGAAAAGGUGCGUGUAACAUCGACGCGGAUGCUUCAGAAGGAAAUUGAGCUGCUCCUUCAGCGGUGAUGUUUUCGGGACUAUUAGGGACAUCGUCCAAAUUAUAAAGCGGAGGAAACAGGGGUAAAAUGUGUUUCCGACAUAGGCAAGGACGCUCAUGAGUAUCAUCGGCCAUUCCGCGUCCCGGAAGGAGAUCAUCGAGUCGGGAGUAAGCGUGAAUCCAAGAUUACUUAUCAUCGUCUGCGAUGAAUAAAAUGCCCUGGAAUUGCGUUAAGGGAUCUGUUGAAAUUUCCGCACUUUUUAGUUGAGGAAGCGUACUCACCACCACACAGGGGACUGAGCGCACUCUUGUAGAUACUUCCGAUAUUUCGGAUCCGAAUGUAGGAUCCAACCAAGCAAACAUACCGCGCCAAAGAGGUGAAGGCCGAAAAAGUAUACUUUAUCCGUCAGUUCAUUCGUUACACCAACGCAAAUAGUAAUAGAUGUAAAUCACCAGUGACGAUUUUGAACAACAAUUUCAGACUACGAUACUCGAUCCCGCCCAAUGUUUCUCGAUCCUCGGCCGUUAAAUUGCGAAACUGAGAAUUGGGCCCUAAAGCUGCGUGAGAGGACAACGGUAGAUGCAAAUGCUGUGAAAGAGAAUGUUGAAGCGGCGGUUGUUUUUGCCUCGUACUAGGCCUCCCCUCAAGCACGAAGAUAGAUGAAGCGACUCUCUCAAGCGUGGUAGUACUAGUAAUGCGAGAGCUACCCAUUAUCUUUCGACGUGCGGGGAGCGAUCCUCUAACAUUGGAAUCGUUUGUCUUCGUGAUUUCAUCGUCGUCACUAAAUAUUUCGUCAAUUUCUACCAUUGGUCUCCCUAUUUCUCGCAAAUCAGUACUACAUAUUGUAUUUUCAUGACAUUUUCUGGAAAACGAUCUUACCCCUGUCACGCUCCUGCGGAGGCGGCACAUAUAAGGCUUUUGAUUUAUCGUAGCCUCUCACAUCAGCUGCGAAUGAUAUGCUUCUACCGGUUGGUUCGGCAGUUUGAGCCUGGGGCUUAUCUGUUUCAUUCGUAUGUUCGCCAGUCGAUAUCACAUUUAGGGCAGUAGCAUCAGUUAUAUGCUGAUCGUUGCUAGUAUAUUUCUUCCCAUUUUCAAGGGGUUUGUAGGCCUUGGCUUCUACAUCGUGACGAUGUCGAACCUGAGUGGAAGCGAUCUCAUCGAGUCGUUUUCUGAACCAAUGCAAACGCACAAGGACUACUGCAAUGUUUAUGAAUGCAUGGUGGGAGAUAACGGGAAUGACAUAAAUGAACAGUUGCUGAUAGGUUUUCAGAUCCUUGACGUCGUAGGUAUUAAGACCAGAUUCUGUACAGGACGAGGCUCCGAAGAAAUAUGCGUCGAUUGCUUUCAGAUUCCCAUAAGGAUAUAGAACGACCAAUGAAGAAAUGCUCAGUGUGACAAUAUAAGCAUCUAGUGACAGGUCGACAGUAAGUUAGUCCAAAUAUCAAUGCCAUUUCCGGGUCCAGGAAUGAGAGCCAGCGACGAACAAUGUAUGGUGAUGAAAUUUAGCGGCGGUUUCCACAUGAUGGCUAUGAAAGGUGUUGUUGGGCCUCCUAUUGUUUGGCUCGAGAAAUUCGAAUAGAAGAAUGGCUCAGACAACACGGCGCAGACACAGACACAGACAAGGAAC
rnacentral:sRNA from 1 species